rnacentral:rRNA from 1 species
GAGUGCUUGCACUCAAUUGGAAAGAGGAGUGGCGGACGGGUGAGUAACACGUGGGUAACCUACCCAUCAGAGGGGGAUAACACUUGGAAACAGGUGCUAAUACCGCAUAACAGUUUAUGCCGCAUGGCAUAAGAGUGAAAGGCGCUUUCGGGUGUCGCUGAUGGAUGGACCCGCGGUGCAUUAGCUAGUUGGUGAGGUAACGGCUCACCAAGGCCACGAUGCAUAGCCGACCUGAGAGGGUGAUCGGCCACACUGGGACUGAGACACGGCCCAGACUCCUACGGGAGGCAGCAGUAGGGAAUCUUCGGCAAUGGACGAAAGUCUGACCGAGCAACGCCGCGUGAGUGAAGAAGGUUUUCGGAUCGUAAAACUCUGUUGUUAGAGAAGAACAAGGACGUUAGUAACUGAACGUCCCCUGACGGUAUCUAACCAGAAAGCCACGGCUAACUACGUGCCAGCAGCCGCGGUAAUACGUAGGUGGCAAGCGUUGUCCGGAUUUAUUGGGCGUAAAGCGAGCGCAGGCGGUUUCUUAAGUCUGAUGUGAAAGCCCCCGGCUCAACCGGGGAGGGUCAUUGGAAACUGGGAGACUUGAGUGCAGAAGAGGAGAGUGGAAUUCCAUGUGUAGCGGUGAAAUGCGUAGAUAUAUGGAGGAACACCAGUGGCGAAAGCGGCUCUCUGGUCUGUAACUGACGCUGA